rnacentral:rRNA from 1 species
GUUAGUGGAAGCGUCUGGAAAGGCGCGCGAUACAGGGUGACAGCCCCGUACACAAAAAUGCACAUAUUGUGAGCUCGAUGAGUAGGGCGGGACACGUGGUAUCCUGUCUGAAUAUGGGGGGCCCAUCCUCCAAGGCUAAAUACUCCUGACUGACCGAUAGUGAACCAGUACCGUGAGGGAAAGGCGAAAAGAACCCCGGCGAGGGGAGUGAAAAAGAACCUGAAACCGUGUACGUACAAGCAGUGGGAGCACGCUUAGGCGUGUGACUGCGUACCUUUUGUAUAAUGGGUCAGCGACUUAUAUUCUGUAGCAAGGUUAACCGAAUAGGGGAGCCGAAGGGAAACCGAGUCUUAACUGGGCGUUAAGUUGCAGGGUAUAGACCCGAAACCCGGUGAUCUAGCCAUGGGCAGGUUGAAGGUUGGGUAACACUAACUGGAGGACCGAACCGACUAAUGUUGAAAAAUUAGCGGAUGACUUGUGGCUGGGGGUGAAAGGCCAAUCAAACCGGGAGAUAGCUGGUUCUCCCCGAAAGCUAUUUAGGUAGCGCCUCGUGAAUUCAUCUCCGGGGGUAGAGCACUGUUUCGGCAAGGGGGUCAUCCCGACUUACCAACCCGAUGCAAACUGCGAAUACC